rfam:Micromonospora nigra strain DSM 43818 genome assembly, contig: Ga0070616_13
CUUCACCGAACCGAGCCAGAGCGGCUGCCCGCCGGUGCGGUCCUGCCCGUACGUGGCGAGCAACGCCUGCGCCUC